rnacentral:lncRNA from 10 species
CGGAGCGGCUGGGUAGGAAGCAAUUGUUCUCAAACUUCACUAGCCCCGUCGGCGCGGACGCUUGUCGAGAAUGCAGAUUCCUGGGUACUGCCAGAUACGGUUGGUGAUCUUGUAGGGCUGGAGUGGAAGCCAUGAAUCUGCAUUUUCAUCAUUUCUGGCCCUCUGCCCGGGCUGGGGUGAUUCACGGGGAUUCGUAGUGGCCCCAAAGGAGCACGCAGAACCUCGGCUGCUGUGCAUUUAUCACCUCUUUUGUUCCCGGAGGCCGCACCCCAGGUCCAGUUUACACAGCUGCCAACUCCUUUUCUUGGUUCCCACUGGAAUCUAGGAAGAAAACUCGCCCUUUACUUCUCCGCCCCACACCCGACGACGGAGUGUCUAGAGGUCUGGUCGGCCUUGGCUGUGCGGAGGGCUAGGCCUGACGAGCGGGCGCUGAUGCGGCGCAGACCCCGCCGGACCUCUUGGUCGGCCCGGGGUAGGCUGGGGAGCCGCGGGAACAGGACUGGAUAGGGAAAGCGGCACCGCAGCGUCCACGGGCAAGCUGAAAGUCCGCUUGAUGUCUUUGCAUCACAGUGGCGCCCUCCCCGCAGGAACGCCCGGCCGCCUGCACCGAACGUUUGCCUGCAGGGAACGGCCAACCCGCCCUGAAAUACUCUUUUUGUGGGCUGCAGCUUUCGGAAUUGAGCAUACCACAAAAAAGUUCUCAUUUUGUGUCCUCCCAUCCCAUUCUCCUCACUAACCAAAGGCUAGGAAUUAUCUGUGAAUGUAGGACCA